GGUUUUUGUGUAAAAUCGACUUAGAUGGAGACCCAAAAUUCGCACCCCGACUCUCAAUUCAUGCGCGCCGUUCAGUCUCUCAACCACAGCCCUCGUUCUCUCUCUCAGUUCUCGAAAGCUCUCUUCAUUCUCUCAUAUUUCAGUGAAGUCGAUUCCCGCGAGCACAGCCUUAACGACGGCAAGGAAAUACAUACCCAGUAACCCAGUUCCUGCUGGUUUUCGCGGUGUUGGCUCUCCAAGGUGCCUGCUACUAAAAUCAUAUCAUUUUUCUGUUUUAGGGAGUAAAAGAAGAGACAUGGGAAGCCUUUAUAGUUGAUGCACUUUUCCUUGCCAAGAUUUGUCUUUUUCUCCUAGCCUUUACAAUGGAUUGAUGCUUAGCCAUUUGGUAUAUUCUUGUAUUUUUAGAGUGAGGUUGCAGCUGGAAGUAUAAAUCUUAAUGGAACUCUUACAGUGGAAGUGCGGAGACCAGGUGGCGAGACUAUUAUGGGAGACAUUGUUCGUCUAGUUGAAGAGGCACAAAGUAGGGAAGCUCCUGUACAGCAGUUGGCUGACAAGCUAUUGAGCUAUUGCAGAUAUAUCUACUGCAUUGUCAAAGAACUUAGAAUGGAUUUACCCCAUGAGUUAUAAACAACAAGGACAUUAUGAAUGUGGAUACUAUGUCAUGAAUUGGAUGUCAAAAAUAAUUGAAGGGGGAGUAACAAAUGGUUGGAGUGAGCUUUUUGAAGAUGCUACACCAUUGGGGGAAACCAAAUUGGAAGACAUUCGGAUUCAUUGGGGAAAUUUGUUUUUAGAAAAAUUUAGAAAUAGAUCAUGUUGAAAGGUCUAGUAUUACAUGUAAAAUUUAGAAAUAGGUGAAUGUGGUUUCAGUAUUAGGCUGCCCAGUGCAUGUCUAAUGUAAUGUGACCUAAUUUUUUUGAUCUUCUCUUCUCCUUGUAAGAGAAAAACUCUUCUUUAUGGAUACUAGAUUAGCCUCUCUUGGUUUCCAAGUAUAUUGUUUCUUUAGUAUUAUAUAUAAUGAUAACGAUCCCAAAUUGGUCUC